AUAUCGUGUUUUCAACUUCGUGCAGUUCCAAAUAUGGCCACCCCAGUAGUGGCGCAAUUACGCAAUAUUCCAUAUUUGCAUCGCUUUCUUUCUAGGUUAUUUUAUUUAGAGGAACAUCUAGAGGAUGCUCUGCUGCAGCAUUAGGAAAAAUCAACACGAAAGAAAGUCAUGAGAAGAAGGUGGCUCGAGCCAUAAAAAUCAUUGGAGAAAAGAAAAUGGGGUAUCUGAAAGCAGCAAACUACUUUCAAGUGGACAAGAAGCUGCUGUGCUGCAGUCCAGUUUGAUACUUGCAUUUACGACUACUGUUUGGCUAAUUUACUUUUUUAUCGGGGACGACAAGAUGGAUCGAUUGCUGCAGGGCUUCUUAAACUAUGAGUCGUAAUCCUAUAUAGGAUCGUGUAACAGAGUUACGAGGUCGUGAAACUUUUAUAACUGUCACACAUCGGUGAACUAAAAAGUGUCAAUCAUCUGUCACCGAAUGAUCAAGCGAUUAAUCGACAUAGAUAUACAACAGCAUUCUUUUAAAAAACAGUUUGAAUGAAUUUUUGCUUGGAAUGAAUACAGAAGUUCGAAUAAUUUAUAAAAUGUCCUUAAACACACACUUAUCACUAUUUUAUGCUAUGUAUCUACUGCAAAAGGACAACAUCGUCGUUAACGAUUGCAAAAUGAAAAUAUCGAUUAAUUCUGAAAAACAUUGAACGUACUUUGUUAUAUCAGAUAUUCAGUCAGAAUUUAAUUUUUUAUGCAAAAAUAAACAAGCACAUCUGUCUCGCCGAUAUGCAAAUUUAAUUUUGCUCUAAUAUUAAUAUAUAAUUAUAAUAUAUAAUAUAUAAUUAUAGUCUAAUUAUAAAUGUAACAAAGAAUCGUUUAGAAUUAAACUUCUCUAAUUAUUUAAUUAAUAAAUGACUCGUAUUAAAAAAAACCGUUGUCUUUUACUUCGUUUAGAAGUUAUCGUCAAUGAGAAUCAGUCAGUUAUAUAUCGUCCAUUCUGUAUAUUUAAGUUAUGUACCUUUUUAUGUAUAUAGGUUGUCUUACCUCACCCUGUUACACUUAAUUACUCGUUUAUUUGCGACGAUACAAGAGAACGUUUCGGAUGAAAGUUGCAUGGUACUGUGCUUUUGUUUAUCUGACCUUACGAUGACCUUGAGUUGUAUAGCAAAUGUGGCAUAAAAAUUUUUAAAUAGGUGCCUUUAUUUUUCAUUAGGUACUCUCUUACUUGAUAUUUAAACGUGUUGCAAAAGGCGCAAACUUGUGUCCUUCGCAACAUCUGCUAUCGAGAUAUAAUCUUUUAACUUCGACAUACAAGAAAUUCGAUGCUAGGAAAUUAUCUGAAUGUGCUCGAAAUGAAUUGACUAUUUUGGACACGUUACAAAACUGCAAUCUUGUGUUUCUUUAUGCGUGAUCGUAGCGUACACCAGGUAACGUUAAUGCGUGUGGCGCAUUGAAUUUUAGCACGUUCACGCCGGCGUGUGCCACCGGUGGCUCACGCUUGAGUCUCCCACCAGGCGGAGCGCACCACCGGUGGCUCACACUUGAAUGUUUCAUCAGACGGUGCACAGCAGCAAAAAUGUAGUUCGUAACUAGAAAAAAUUGCCAUUUGGUUGAAAAUUUAACGUAUAUUAAUUGAAAAAAGACGCUUCAAGAUCGUCGCAAGGUUAAAUAAAUAAAAGCACUCGAUACCAAACAAGUUUUGCCUGAGACAUUUUUCUGUAUCAUCGCAAAUAAGGGUGUAAUUAAGGAUGACAGAGUUAGGUGGGACACCCUGUAUAACUGGGGUGGCGUGAAAUAUUUCCUGGCAAAAUGGAGUUGCGAAUGGAAGGUUUAAAAAGUGUUGAAUUAAUGUAUUGAGAAAUUCAUGAUUCCAUGAAGAAAAAGAAAGAAGAAAAAGGAAGGAACAUCGGUGACCUUCAUAUGUCCUCUACGCGUUCACAUAGGAUAAAGCUAAUCAUACCAAAUUACGUUCCCCUCGAAAGCAUUCAACUUGUACCUGAAACAUUUUUUCUCUUAAUAUUAUCAAAAUCGAGCGAUAUAUUCCAGGUGAUAAAGUCAGGUGGACCACCCUGUAUAAGAAACGAUGUAACACUUACCAAUAUAAAGCGAUUUGCCUAACGUUUAGCGUAGAGAAGCAGGAAAGACAGUGAUAAAAGAAUUGAUAUAAACA